ACGGACACGGGGAUGGUGGCAUACAGGGACAUGGCGACAUGAGAGACGUGAACACACAGAGGGGGGAUACACGGACACGGGGUCACGGGGACGGGGAUACACAGACACGGGGACAUGAACACGGCAACAGGAGGAUACGCAGACAGGGGGAGACACGGACGCGGGGACACACGGACACCGGGACACAGGGCAACUCCAGCGAGGGGCUCUGGACCACCCUUCCCCUGUCAGCUCUGGGGCAGCCUGGAAGACUUGUGAUUUCACUGUUUCCAAAGUCAAAGUGAGCAAAAACAAAUCCCAGUCUGCCCCUGGGUACUGACUCCAUGCUGGUGGACAGUGUCGGCUCUGAUAUACCAACCCUGCAAGCUGGGAACACCCACAGCAAACUCCAGUGAACAUGACCAGCACCAGCCAGGCAGCAACACGAAACCAGGUGUCAGCUUGCUGGUGGAAUUAAAAAUAAACAAUUUCAGAGAAACAUGAAUAUGGUCCUAAAUGUGCCAUGGUCAGGUCCUGCAGCAGGGAGCUGUCAGGGCUGGCCAUGGCCCAACCAUGCUCUAAAUCAUGGUUUUCUGCCCUUAAAUGCUGCUGAACUGGGCAGAGAGGCUGAGGAGCAUCAUUCAGCCCUUCCUCAUGGCUCCUGUGGCUGAGCAAAGGUGCUGCAGCAGCUCCACAUACACACACGCACAUAUAUAUAUUUUCCAAGCUAUCCUACUCCAUGACCUCCUAACCCCAGGAUAUUUCCCGACUGACCCCCUCUUGAGUCACUUUGAACUUGCCCCUCCAUAGUCAGGGCUGUGGCCACAGGAAACCGCCCAUAUCACGGAUCUUGGUAACCAAAAGAAUGGUUUCUUGAAAGCAAUGUAGAUGUUGGUUUCCUGCCAUCUUUGCCUCCUCCACAUUUUAGAGGUUUGAUUUCGAAGUUGGAAGCGUUACACUGGGAUAUUGGGGGAAAAGGCUGCGGAUCCCCUCCAGGGAAAGGGGGAGGAAUGCAGUGGAAAUAUAUCCUUGACAGCAGAAAUCUCUCCCAAUCAAUCAGCUGGAUUUGCCACUA